GGAGGGAGCUAGCGUUGUUCGGAAUUACUGGGCGUAAAGCGCACGUAGGCGGCUUUGUAAGUCAGAGGUGAAAGCCUGGAGCUCAACUCCAGAACUGCCUUUGAGACUGCAUCGCUUGAAUCCAGGAGAGGUGAGUGGAAUUCCGAGUGUAGAGGUGAAAUUCGUAGAUAUUCGGAAGAACACCAGUGGCGAAGGCGGCUCACUGGACUGGUAUUGACGCUGAGGUGCGAAAGCGUGGGGGGAGCAAACAGGAUUAGAUACCCUGGUAGUCCACGCCCGUAAACGAUGAUAACUAGCUGUCCGGGCACUUGGUGCUUGGGUGGCGCAGCUAACGCAUUAAGUUAUCCGCCUGGGGAGUACGGCCGCAAGGUUA
rnacentral:rRNA from 1 species